ACAAGCCACGCAUUUAAAAACAACACACUUUGGCAAAACGCUAUGCCCAUGAGACACUGUAGUACUAUGCACUACUCUCCACGACAGAACAGAAGGAGCUCUCGCCCUCGCUGUCUUUUUCAUCACCACCUCUGCAGCUUUCGAUUCUUUGUUUCUCUUCUUCAACACCGCAUUUUCUUUCUCACAUAUCCAUUCCUUUCUCUGUCGUUUUCCCACUUCCAAUCUCCUCAGGCUGUCGUUUGAUGCACCUUCUAAUACCAAUACGACAAUAGCAAACUCCAACGACGUUGUUCAGCGCAAUGCUUCCCCUCCCCAUUAUCGAUUUCAAGGAUUUCCAGGAUAAUUUUUUCACCCGUUUCAGGCCUUGGCAACGCUCCUUUCAGUUUUGGAUUCGAGCUGUUGAUAUCUAUACUGGCUACAAGGUGUUUCAGGUUCGAGUGAGUUUGGUUAAGGAUGCACGGAAGCAGGAGGAAAUGUGGGAGAGGCAGCAUGAAUUUGCGGCUGAGAAGAUAUAUUCUAUGUGUGCUGACCUCGGCGGCUUCUUUCUCAAAGUUGCUCAAAUCAUUGGGAAGCCGGACUUGGCUCCCUCUGCGUGGGUGAGAAGGCUCGUUACACUGUGUGAUCAAGCUCCUGCUACUUCGUUUGAUGUAGUCAAACAUGUGCUGGAGAAGGAGUUUGGUCGAAAUGUUUGGGAUCUGUUUGAAAGAUUUGAUGAGUACCCUCUUGGUUCGGCCUCAAUUGCACAGGUCCAUCGAGCAAGAUUGAAAAGCCAUAAAGGCGAUGUUGUUGUCAAGGUGCAACAUCCCGGAGUUCAGGACCUGAUGAUGACGGAUAUCCAUAACUUACAGGCUUUUGCUUUAUAUAUGCAAAAGACAGAUAUCAAAUUUGAUCUCUUCUCUGUGACCAAGGAAAUGGAGAAACAGAUUGGAUAUGAAUUCGACUUCAUGAGGGAGGCAAAUGCUAUGGAAAAAAUUCGACGGUUUCUCUAUGAGAGUAACAAAAAGACUCCUGUUUCGGUGCCACGAGUUGUGAAAGACAUGGUCACUAGGACAGUUUUAGUUAUGGAAUAUAUAGAUGGAGUCCCAAUCCUGAAUCUUGGUGAUGAAAUAGCAAAAAGAGGAAUAAAUCCUGAUAGUAGCGUUGCAGCAGCAGCAAAGCAGAAAAUUCUCAAGAGUUUAACACUAGCAUAUGGACAAAUGAUUUUGAAGAGUGGUUUCUUCCAUGCAGAUCCUCAUCCCGGAAAUAUCUUGAUAUGUAAAGGUUCAGAGGUUGCCCUACUAGACUAUGGACAAGUAAAGGAUCUCCCAGAUGCGUUGAGGUUUGGAUACGCUAAUCUUGUUCUUGCCAUUGCAGAUAAUGACCCUAAAAGGGCAGCAGAAAGCUACAGGGAGCUUGGCAUAUGCACCUUGAGCAAAUGUGAAAACGAGCAGCAGGAAAUGUUCAGGUUGGCAGAGACAAUGUUUGACACAAAAUUACCCCCCGGAGUGACAAUGCUGCAACCUUUCUCUGAGGAUUCUUCUAUUAAAAAAAUUGCUGUUCAGUCUUUUCCAGAGGAACUGUUUUCCGUUUUACGGACGGUGCAUCUAUUAAGAGGACUGAGUGUUGGUCUGGGAAUCAACUACUCAUGUGCAGAGCAAUGGAGACCCAUUGCAGAAGAAGCUUUGUACCAAGCUGGGAGAUUGAAAGCUGAUGAUAUCGAGCGUAGAUCUCGUCGACGCGGUUUAGUAAGAAGAUUAUUUUGGAGAGACUGAUUGGCUUCAUGACAAACUCUAGACAUGAAGUAGACAGAAUUUGUGUAGUUUGUUGACACACUCUAAUCUUUUCAUAAUUAUCAUAUUGCAAAAUACCCUUUAUAGAGUUGGUGGACAAGGUUCAGAGCAGAGUCCAUUGAUUUGGCUGGUAUAACUUACUGUAAUUUUUACUACUAUCAUCAUAUAUAUUGUCAUGUAGCUAUUAGUUAUCAUUCUUGAUUUCUCUGGCUAGAACUAUUAAACUUGGAAGCUUA